CGCGAAUAGCUCAUUACAACAGCCUUAGUUUAUUGGAUCUUAGAGUCCUACUUGGAUAACUGUGGUAAUUCUAGAGCUAAUACACGCAAUUAAUCCUCAACCUUACGGGCGAGGAGCGUUUAUUAGAACAAAACCAAUCGGCUUCGGCCGUAUCUGGUGAAUCUGAAUAACUACGCUGAUCGCAUGGUCUCGUACCGGCGACAUAUCCUUCAAGUGUCUGCCUUAUCAACUGUCGAUGGUAGUUUACACGCCUACCAUGGUUGUAACGGGUAACGGAGAAUAAGGGUUCGACUCCGGAGAGGGAGCCUGAGAAGCGGCUACCACAUCCAAGGAAGGCAGCAGGCGCGCAAAUUACCCACUCUCAGAACGAGGAGGUAGUGACGAAAAAUAACGAGACAGUUCUCUAUGAGGUCUGUCAUCGGAAUGGGUACAAUUUAAACCCUUUAACGAGGAUCUAUUGGAGGGCAAGUCUGGUGCCAGCAGCCGCGGUAAUUCCAGCUCCAAUAGCGUAUAUUAAAGUUGUUGCGGUUAAAAAGCUCGUAGUUGGAUCUGCGGUCGUAGACUCUGGUUCCCUCCUAGGGAUACUAGCUGUCUCGACCUACCUUGUUAGAUUUCCCUUGGUGCUCUUUACUGAGUGCCUUGGGUGUCUAGCUCGUUUACUUUGAAAAAAUUAGAGUGCUUAAAGCAGGCAUUUGCCUGAAUAGUGGUGCAUGGAAUAAUGGAAUAGGACCUCGGUUCUAUUUUGUUGGUUUUCGGAGCAUGAGGUAAUGAUUAAGAGGGACAGACGGGGGCAUUCGUACUGCUACGUUAGAGGUGAAAUUCUUGGAUCGUAGCAUGACGAACAACUGCGAAAGCAUUUGCCAAGAAUGUUUUCAUUAAUCAAGAACGAUAGUUAGAGGUUCGAAGGCGAUCAGAUACCGCCC
rnacentral:rRNA from 1 species